GUUAUUGUUUAUUUGAUACAUUAAAUGGAUAACUGUAGAAAAACUAGAGCUAAUACAUGCUAAGGCCGCAAGGUCGUAUUUAUUAGAUAUUCCAAAUCGGUGAAUCAUAAUAACUUCGCAAAUCUCAUCUAUGAUGAGAUAAAUCAUCCAAGUUUCUGCCCUAUCAUGCUUUCGAUGGUAGUGUAUUGGACUACCAUGGCUCUCACGGGUAACAGGGAAUUAGGGUUCGAUUCUGGAGAAGGAGCCUGAGAAACGGCUACUACAUCUACGGAAGGCAGCAGGCGCGUAAAUUACCCAAUCCUGACUCAGGGAGGUGGUGACAAGAUAUAACAACGCGAUUUAUAUCGCGAUUGUAGUGAGGGUAUUCUAAAUAGAACCUAUAGUACGAUUAGAGGGCAAGUCUGGUGCCAGCAGCCGCGGUAAUUCCAGCUCUAAUAGCGUAUAUUAAUGUUGCUGCAGUUAAAAAGCUCGUAGUUGGAUUUCAAGGACUGUAUACCCUCCCGGGCAUACAACCUACUAGUCUCUGACUGUUACUGUGAGUAAAUUAGAGUGUUUCAAGCAGGCUUUUGCAAGAAUAUAUUAGCAUGGAAUAACGAAUGUAUUUAGAAUCUUGGUUAAUUCUAUAUUACGAUUAAUAGAGACAGUUGGGGGCAUUAGUAUUUAAUUGUCAGAGGUGAAAUUCUUGGAUUUGUUAAAGACUAACGUAUGCGAAAGCAUUUGCCAAGGAUGUUUUCAUUAAUCAAGGAC
rnacentral:rRNA from 1 species